UGAGAGGGUGACCGGCCACACUGGGACUGAGACACGGCCCAGACUCCUACGGGAGGCAGCAGUGGGGAAUAUUGCACAAUGGGCGAAAGCCUGAUGCAGCGACGCCGCGUGAGGGAUGACGGCCUUCGGGUUGUAAACCUCUUUCAGCAGGGAAGAAGCCACAAGUGACGGUACCUGCAGAAGAAGCGCCGGCUAACUACGUGCCAGCAGCCGCGGUAAUACGUAGGGCGCAAGCGUUGUCCGGAAUUAUUGGGCGUAAAGAGCUCGUAGGCGGUUUGUCGCGUCUGCUGUGAAAGCCCGGGGCUUAACCCCGGGUGUGCAGUGGGUACGGGCAGACUAGAGUGCAGUAGGGGAGACUGGAAUUCCUGGUGUAGCGGUGGAAUGCGCAGAUAUCAGGAGGAACACCGAUGGCGAAGGCAGGUCUCUGGGCUGUUACUGACGCUGAGGAGCGAAAGCAUGGGGAGCGAACAGGAUUAGAUACCCUGGUAGUCCAUGCCGUAAACGUUGGGCACUAGGUGUGGGGGACAUUCCACGUUUUCCGCGCCGUAGCUAACGCAUUAAGUGCCCCGCCUGGGGAGUACGGCCGCAAGGCUAAAACUCAAAGGAAUUGACGGGGGCCCGCACAAGCGGCGGAGCAUGCGGAUUAAUUCGAUGCAACGCGAAGAACCUUACCAAGGCUUGACAUAUACCGGAUCGUUCCAGAGAUGGUUCUUCCCCUUUGGGGUCGGUAUACAGGUGGUGCAUGGUGUCGUCAG
rnacentral:rRNA from 1 species